rnacentral:rRNA from 1 species
CAAGGAAUUUUCCGCAAUGGGCGCAAGCCUGACGGAGCAACGCCGCGUGCAGGACGACGGCCUUCGGGUUGUAAACUGCUUUUCGGCGGGACGAUGAUGACGGUACCGCCGGAAGAAGCCCCGGCUAACUCCGUGCCAGCAGCCGCGGUAAGACGGAGGGGGCAAGCGUUGUCCGGACUCACUGGGCGUAAAGGGCGCGCAGGCGGGACGGCGCGUCGGCGCUGAAAGCGCCCGGCUUAACCGGGCGCGGCGCGGCGAUACGACCGACCUGGAGGCAGGCAGAGGGUGGCGGAAUUCCGGGUGUAGUGGUGAAAUGCGUAGAGAUCCGGAGGAACGCCUGUGGCGCAAGCGGCCGCCUGGGCCUGACCUGACGCUGAGGCGCGAAAGCGUGGGGAGCGAACCGGAUUAGAUACCCCCGUAGUCC